rnacentral:rRNA from 1 species
GUCUACAGCCAUGCCACCCUGGAAACACCUAAUCCUGUCUGAUCUCAGAAGCUAAGCAGGAUCGGGCCUGGUUAAUACUUGGAUGGGAGACCACCUAGGAAGACCAGGUGCUGUAGGCA